rnacentral:tRNA from 1 species
UGUCGAGUCGUCAAGCGGUAAGACAACGGCUUUUGGUGCCGUCAUUCCACAGGUUCGAAUCCUGUCUCGACAA